AAAAUUGAUAAAACCCUUGUGAACAUAUCUAAUAGAUAUUCUGUUUACUUGUAGAAAUAAUAUAAUGUGUCUGGUUCUGUUUUGUUAGACAUUUUUUAUGUUCUACUGAAUCAGAAUAGUCAGUGUUAUAUUCCUUAUUUCAAGAAUUCAUCUAUUUUAUGGCUACAUCUCAUAUGUGCUAUGAGGACUUCUAGCCAGUGGGUGGCGCUGUAAUACCGAAGUACUGCACUGCUUUGUUCCUGUUUCCUUGUGCUGAUUCCUUUCUAGUAUUUAGGUAACAUUACCGGAUGGCAUUUCCCUUAAAUUCCACCAACUCUUAAUCUUUAUUUUAAAAAUGGCUACUUUUUUUGGGUGGUUGGGGUAAGGGUUAAAACCUUAAAUUAGUAACCGC
rnacentral:lncRNA from 1 species